rnacentral:sRNA from 1 species
GCUGGGUGCAGUGGCUCACACCUGUAAUCCCAGCAGUUUGGGAGGCCGAGAUGGCGGAUCGCUUGAGUCCAGGAGUUUGAGACCAGCCUGGGCAACAUGGCAAAACCCCG